ACAGCAGUCGCCGCGGGAAUACGGAGGAUCCAAGCGUUAUCCGGAAUCAUUGGGUUUAAAGGGUCCGUAGGCGGUCUUGUAAGUCAGUGGUGAAAGCCCAUCGCUCAACGGUGGAACGGCCAUUGAUACUGCAGGACUUGAAUUAUUGGGAAGUAACUAGAAUAUGUAGUGUAGCGGUGAAAUGCUUAGAGAUUACAUGGAAUACCAAUUGCGAAGGCAGGUUACUACCAAUUGAUUGACGCUGAUGGACGAAAGCGUGGGUAGCGAACAGGAUUAGAUACCCGAGUAGUCCCUGUCUCUUAUAC
rnacentral:rRNA from 1 species